AUCAAUUUAUAUAUAUUUAUUUAUAUAUUUUCCUCUUUUUCUUUACCAUUUUCUUUCUCUCCGUCUACUCUCCCUCUAGACACCCAAUUCUUUUUCCCCUAAAAUUUUUCGCCUUUUCAGUAAGCCCUAGCUUGCAAUCUCUUCCUUCCGUCAUCUUCAUCUUCUAUUUUUAAAGAAAAGUAUGAAUUUCACACCCGAUUUUCUUUCAAUUUCGUCCAACCCUAAUCCGUAAAUUCCCCAUAUUUCUUUACCGUAACCUCUUUUCUCCCACCGACGACGAUGAAGCCAACCGCACCACUUGCUCCAAUUCCAACUGCCUACGAAUCCACUGGUAAAUAUCGGAAGAAAGGGCUGUUUGGGGAUUCGAUUGUGCUUUUGAUGUUUAUUGUAGUUGUGAUUAGGAUUAAAAUUAUGUUUAAGUUUUGAUUUAGUAUUGAUUGGAAUUAGUUGUCGAAUUUGUAUACGUAGUUGGUAUAUGAUUGGUGAAUUGCGGACUGUGUCCAGGAGAUUUAAAUAAGAUGAGUUGUGAAUUUUUUUCUUA